CCACUCGCGAGCGUCCUCACCCAAUCCCCAUCCCUGCUCGUCCUCCCCCAAUCCCCUCACUCUCCCACGAUUUCUCCUCCCAAACCCUAGCAGCCACCAGCCCACCACCCAAUCCUCUUGCGUCUCUCCUCUCUCCUCUCUCCGUCCCAGUCCGCGGCGCUGGAGCAGCGCCGCCGGUGGAGUGCGAGCUGCCGGCGAACAGCGCAUCGGCCAGCCCUCAGCGAGAGCGCAGGAGCGGCGCCGCCGAUGGAGUGCAAGAACGGGGCGAGCGCGUGGGGGGUGGCGGUGCGGCGCCACCGGUGGAGCGCCGGCCGCCUAGCCAUACCCGCAGCCGCAGCCACCAUCGCGUGAUGCGGUCGUCGUCUUGGUCGUGGCCUUGCAUUGGCUGCAGAUCGAGGUGCAGCGGUGGGGUGGAGACCACGAGUAGGCAUAAAGAGCAGCGCAGCCCUCUUCCUCAUCUCCGUGCUCAAUGGGAGGAAAACGAUCCGGUACCAAACCCUAUCAGAGUGAGCCAAGUGAGUGAGAUGGGAAAGGGAAAAAGAAAGGGUGAUUGGAGAUAGAAGAGGACACAAAGAAAGAGCACAGAUCUGCUCCAACAAGUGAAGCACGGCCGCUGCACUGCUGGAGAGGGUGACGAUUGUGUGUUCUUGUGUUGGGUGAUUGGCUGCUGAUAACGAGGGAGAUGGGAAGGGGAAGAAGAAAGGGUGAUGGAGGUGGGAGGGGAAGAAGGGACGGAGAUGGGAAGGGGAAGAAGAAAGGGUGAUGGAGGUGGAAGAAGAGGCCCACAGAGGUGCUUGCUUUUGCGAUAUGAGAACCAUAUCCUUCAAGCCUGUCUUCGAGCAACUCAACCUGCAUACCAAAUUUGGCAGUGCGAGAUUGUGACUAAAUCUUGCUCUUUGAGGACCUUCAUGCUUUGAACCAUAGUGCAAACUCGGUAUUUUAUAUUCAGUUAAAAAACUUCAUUUAGGCAAGUUGCUUUGAGAGGCUCACCAUGUUGUAAGUUUCUGAAUGUGAUCCUUGUUAAUUUUCUGCCACUAGAGAUGUCACUUUUCUCAUGUCUUGCACCGCAUUCUAGCUGGUUGCAACUUACAUGGCCAUCUCCAUGCUUGUGCACUGCAGCGUCUAAAACAUUCAUUACUCAUUAGCAAGGGAGGCCCUGGUCUUUUAAUGUUUGACUGCUGUUCAUAGCAACGGAGCUGUUGGAGCAGCUUGGAGAAGAAAUUACACCAGAAAGGAUAUCAAGGAAUGGGUUUAUUAAUUCUCUAAAUAUACAUUAUCUCUGCUUGAUGGUAGUGCACAGCCUGCAGUCUGUGUUGCAAUUAACGUAUGUGAAUGAUCCGUAGUUUUAGAAAGAAACACAGCUUGAGAUAAUCCUACAAUUUUGACUAAAUUGACAACUGACUGAUGCUCAAUUCUAUAAGAUCAAUAUUUCCUUCUUCCUCUUACCAACAAUUCCUAGACAUCCAAAUGCCAGUUCAGUUUUGGAAUUUACCCUCCUUUGGUCUAUUCUGCAGCUUUUAGCUGAGUACAUUAGUUAGUCAGGCCAAUUAUACUUCGGUAUUAGAUGGCCUAUUAAUCUGACAUACUUUUUUAUGCUAAUUCUAUUCUAUGUGUUGCUUUUUCUUUGCGGUAUACAGGGUUCAUCCAUAUGGUAUACACUUGAUUCUUCUAACAAAUAUAAUUGGUGUCAUUAUCCUAUAUGUAGGGACCACUAUAGUGCUGACAUGUUGGUGCCUCCUUGCUAAAUAAAAAGUCUGAGCUACUUUUCUUUAGAAACUGAGUUAUCACUGCAUUAUUUUCCCAAUUUGGACGUGCAUUAAAUUAAAAUUAAAUCCAUCUCUCAUGCAUAUCAAUUGUGAUCUUACAGUUUACUGUUCUUUGUUUAAAGGUUGGAUUUCCCUGAUAUGAAAAUCAGCUUUGGUUUUUCUUGGUUAUGAGGUAAAAGUUUCUACCGGUAAGAUGAAGAGUAAAUCACUCGAGCAUAUCAAUUUACAUCAACCAGAUAACACUUCUGGUACCUUGCCAAUGCUUAUAGGAUUUGUCUGCAGCCUUGGUGAUCUUGUCCAGUGGACCAGGUGACUUUGGGCAAAAGACUACAAUUGGUAUUACUUAGUAUAUUUAUCAUUCUUCAGUAUUCUCCUUUGUUUUUAGAAAUGCUUUAUGAUUUUGAUUAUUCUUUGUGCCGUGAUCUAAAUAAGUUCUGGUUUCGCUCUCUGCCUUUUUCUAGGAUAGGAAAACUACAGAGAUGGUCAUGCUCUCAAUCCUUUUUUAUUUGAUUGAUUUUUUGUUUCUCAGUUUGAUCAUGUGCUCAUUACAUAGAUCUCUCAGAAGCAUAUCACAUUGUUUCUCUGCUCGCACCAGGGAAUGAUAAAUCGCCCGGGCUGUAUUUCUUCUUUGUUCCCAUACAUCCAGCUGUAUGGAUCGUCCUAUUAUUUCAAUUUAAAGAGUGCUUGAGUAGGUCCACUUAUUAUUUUAUAGGGUAGGUGUUGGUUUUCAGUAUUCUGUGGGACUGAAACAUUUCACUAUGUCAAAUUUUGAAAGCAAUUUGACUAUCAGCAAGAUUAUCUAACAAUCCUGUGUGGAUUUGGUUCAUUGCAGAUCUCAACAGCACUACUUCAUCCUCUGUUCUCUUUGAUUUAAUUCAGCAAGCCUCGGCAGAGGUUGGCGCUUUGGAGCCUGAGGACUAGGCGUCCACGGCAAGGGGUGUUGGUGGACGCCGCAUCUGGUCAUGCCUCUGCUGCUAUCUGUGCUAAUACUGUACGAUUUCUCAGUUUUAAAAUUGCUUCUUGUGAUUUGUGAAGAUUCAGUUAAGUGUAAUGUUCCAUCACUGUAUUUGCACAUUGACUACUGCAAGAUCACAGUCCAUCUGCCCCCAAUAGCUCAUGGUUAAAGAGAAAAUGGGUGUUGUUCUAACGAGUAUAAAUUUCCUGUUUAUAUGUGAGAGCUUUGUUCUCCUCUAAAAUGGAGUGAAGGUGUAGAUUGAUCUGAACCAUGAACAAACUAUUUAUGGAUGGAGGGUGAACAUUAUCAGAUUGUUCAUGGGAAACAUCAAAUUGAUCUGCUCUCAGUCUCAGCUCCGGACAUGCACCUCAUUUGUAAGGAUUUCCAUGGAGUAUCAAAUUGUGAGAUUUGGUUGGACGGCUUGGUCCGACUUGUACAGCAUUAGCGUCUAAACGCUAACGAGUUUUGUUUCUUGAUCUGUGUGAAGGUUUGCAUAACUUUAACGCGACGAUGCACUUGGUUCCAUGCAGGUUGUUUCACAUAGUCUGUGAUAUAAGAACACUGUUAGAUGAGAGCAGGAAAAAAUGUACUAUAUAAAUAAAUUGUCAGUGCGUAUUGUUUUGCUACCAGAGCAAACUAGGUUUGCCAUUAAAGUACUGCAUUAUAUUACUGCCGAUGGUUAGUGGGACGGUUUGUUCUCACUGUUGUACUACUAUACUUGGUUUAUCAGUUUAUGUGGCUUUGGAUGUAGUGCAUCAUAAUUUAGUAAAAUCACAGUGUCCAUAUUUUUGUUUGUGCAACGUGUCGUCCUCUCUUAGUGGGACACAAUUGUAUCCUAUAUCCUUGUGUUUCUGUUUAUUGCAAAGGAUAGGAGUUAUUGGAAGAUAUGUUUUUUUUGGUUUGUGUUAUUGUUGCUUAGCUGGCUUGGGUUCAUUCAAUUGCAUGCCGUAUCAUCUAUUUUCCAUUUUUAGGCGCCUUUUUUUGUCUCUUUAUUGUCAGCCUAUCUUGCCUGCCCUUUAUGCUUUUUACAGUGAUGUUUCAUUUGGCUAUAUCAUAUUUCUUAGCAUAGCUCUAUAUAUAUUUGGGAUACAGAGUAAACUUCGGUUUCGUUUGUUUCAGGAGUGCUACUGCUAGCCAUCGCUGAGAUAGUUUCUUUGUCAGCAAGUGGAUAAUGGAUCACAUGGAUGAACAAAUUAAACAACUUAGCGAGAAGUUGGAGAUACAGAGCUGAGAACUCUGAUCGGUGUCUCCUGCAACAGGUGACUAACAAAGACAAGCAGAUAAACCGACUUAGCAAGACCAGGAAUACUUUCAUACACAAUGUAUGCAGGCAUGUUGAUUGGAUUCGGAAGAUUAUUCAAGAUACCCUAUAUGAGAGGCUGAUCUGAAAUACAAUAUCAGGUCGUGCUUAUUGAGCUGACGGCGCUAACUCUCACAUGUGGCAGUUCACCGUUCAAGCAGCUAAGGAGAUCCAUACGGCCAUUUACAAGGCCGGGGACGUGCGCCUGACUCGGGAUUCCGGUUGACGCCCCAUGGCUAUGACGGGUCGGCAGUAACGCUAACAAGAAUGAACAUCGGCAUGAGCUCCACGGGAUCGUGCGCCAAGGCGCACAUCUAAAUCUUGUAGAACACAAACCGCUGCUCACCAAGUGUGAACGGGGGCUCGUGGUUGUGGAAAGGGGUAAUCAGAUGCACAUGUGGCAGGUGAACCAAAUCAUCAAACCAGGAUCAUGACAAUGAUGAUGAUGGUUAGUGCUGCAAUAGUCGCAAAACAA